UUUGCCUCUCAGCCUUUUGGCUAAGAUCAAGGGUAGUAUUUGUUCUUAUCAAAGAACUAUUUGAUACAUCCUCUUUCUAAGGACAAUGGAUUAAAUGAUUUUUGGAACAGAAAGUGAAAUAAGAGCUUGCUCCAUCCACUCCACCCAUCAGCUAUUAUGGUGGCAUCUCCAGGAAUGGUGCAACUCCC
rnacentral:snRNA from 1 species